rnacentral:rRNA from 1 species
UACAGAGGAGGCAAGCGUUAUUCGGAAUUAUUGGACGUAAAGAGCGCGUAGGCGACUUUGCAAGUGACGGAUGAAAUCCCUCGGCUUAACCGAGGAACUGCCUGUCAAACUGCAUGGCUUGAGACCGGGAGAGGUGAGUGGAAUUCCCAGUGUAGCGGUGAAAUGCGUAGAUAUUGGGAGGAACACCAGUGGCGAAGGCGGUCUGCUGGGCAGUGGCUGACACUGAGGCGCGACAGCGUGGGGAGCAAACAGG